GCCCGGUUAGCUCAAUCGGUAGAGCGUGAGACUCUUAAGAUUCUCGUGGAAACGAGAGGAAAGAAAUCUCAAGGUUGCGGGUAAGUCUAGAUAUAAAAAAUCUUAGGAUGGUCAUCCUCGUACUAACCCACUUCGAUAGGUUCGACACCCGCAUCGGGCU